rnacentral:rRNA from 1 species
AUGGGGCACGGGGUGAGCUGCGCCCGCACCGGCGACGAGCACGACUUCUUCCGCGCGGCCCAGCUCGGGGACCUCGACGCCCUGGGCGCGCUCCUCGCCGCCGACGCCUCGCUCGCCCGCCGCGCCACGCUCUACGACCGUCUCUCCCCGCUCCACAUCGCCGCCGCCAAUGGCCGCCUCGAGGCGCUCGCCAUGUUCCUGGAUCGCGGGGCGCAGCCGGACGCCGUGGAUCGGCACAAGCAGACCCCCCUGAUGCUCGCCGCCAUGCACGGCAAGAUCGGCUGCGUGCUCAAGCUCCUCCAGGCCGGCGCAAACAUCUUGAUGUUCGACUCGGUGCACGCGCGGACCUGCCUCCACCACGCGGCCUACUACGGCCACGUCGACUGCCUGGACGCCAUCCUCUCCACGGCGCGGACCACGCCGGUGGCCGGCUCAUGGGGGUUCGCCCGGUUCGUCAACGUCAGGGACGACCACGGCGCCACGCCGCUGCACCUCGCGGCCAGGCAGGGCCGGCCGGGCUGCGUGCAGGUGCUGCUGGAGAACGGCGCCAUCGUGUCGGCAUUGACCGGAUCAUAUGGUUUCCCUGGUAGCACGUCGUUGCAUUUGGCAGCUCGCAGCGGGGACUUGGAUUGCAUCCGGAAGCUGCUUGCGUGGGGAGCUGAUCGGCUCCAAAGGGACUCUGCUGGGAGAAUUCCCUAUGUGGUGGCACAUAAGCGCAACCAUGGGGCAUGCGCAGCAUUGCUGAACCCUUCCUCGGCAGAGCCCAUGGUCUGGCCUUCCCCUCUGAAGUUCAUCAGCGAGCUCGACCCGGAAGCCAAGGCACUGCUGGAAGCGGCCCUGAUGGAGGCCAACAGGGAGAGGGAGAAGAAGAUCUUGAAGGACGCAAAGUGCUCGCCGCAGUCCCCUUUGCAAUACGAUGAUGAUCACAUCGACGACGACAUGUUCUCGGAGGUGAGCGACACGGAGCUGUGCUGCAUCUGCUUCGACCAGGCGUGCACCAUCGAGGUGCAGGAUUGCGGGCACCAGAUGUGCGCGCCCUGCACGCUGGCGCUGUGCUGCCACAACAAGCCCAACCCGGCGACCCUGACCCUGCCCUCGCCGGCGUGCCCGUUCUGCCGCGGCAGCAUCUCGCGGCUGGUGGUGGCCCAGACCCAGACAGCAGACAACGGCGACCCCGACAGGCCAGCCUCCCCGCAGCUCGCGCACCGGCGGUCCCGGCGCUCUCACAACCUCAGUGAGGGCAGCAGCAGCUUCAAGGGGCUGUCCUCGGCCAUCUCCAAGAUCGCGCGCGGCUCGAGCCGGAUGGCCGAGAGCGACGGCGCUGCGAUGGACAAGCCCGAGCACGAUCUGUGA